GGCUGAACAAGACCCUGGAUUUUCACUGUAUUACAGCCAGGAUAGUGAUGGACACUUGUAACCACAGCUCUGAGUCAUAAAGACUCACAUGUUCUGCAACCUCUGAUUAAGAAGGCAGGAAAGUGUGUAAUAGCCACUAGUGAUUUCCAUCCAAAAUAUCUCUUUUUAAGGUCUCAGAUAUUAAUGUCUGGAAAACUAGUGUGAAAUGGUUCAUUCUUGAAUGAUGACAGAAGUAUGACAUAUUACUGGUUUCUCUACAGUUUUCUCAAAACCCACCUCCAAAUUCCAAGAAGCUGCCAACUCUGGGAUUUGAAUUCACUCUAUCUGUGGAAACACAGCUGAGGGAAACAUCCUCAGCCUUUCAGCCAGUCCACACACAAUAAUAAAAAAAAAAAAACGGUUUAGCUCUUACUAAGCAUCUGUCUCCAAUACACGAGGCAUGUUAUACGCAGACUACAUUUUAAUCCUCAAUGGCCCCACUAGGUGAAUACUACACUCCCAUUAGACAGGAAACUGAGGCUCAGAGAGAUCAGACUUGGGCAAGUUCAAGUUAACAUGUGACAAAGAACCCUCAGCCACCUUCACUCCCACAUGCCACUAACCAGACCUGUUCAACUCACUGCCAACCACCACAUGAUGUCCUAAAGGCCACCAAUCCUAUUCAGACAUCCCUUUGUAGGGCCUUGCCCAGAGCCUGAAUAGCCAGGAGAGGCCUCAUCCCUGCCUCUGAGUGUCAGCAACGGUGGAAGGAGGUGCCAACCUGGGCCAUCUAGGGAAGGAAGGGACAGACCCCAGGCCACCCACUGACCAGCCCCUGAGAUCCAGGGCUCAGGCAGUGGGGAGGGUGCCUCUGGGACUCAGGAAAUAACUCCAAGCAUUUCCACACAGGGAAGGCAAGCAUCUCACCGUGCGCACUCCGACAGGAGGGCAGGAGGGCGGAAAGGUGGAAUAGCCCAGAAGAGCAGGCUGCUGCCCAGGCCCCUAGGCCACAUCCGAAGGACGUAUGUCAGGACCCUCCUAGAUUGGCAUGAAUUCACCCACAUUACGGGGCUGGGUCCUACACACCUGUUUGUAAAGAGCUCCCCAGGAAUGUAGUGCUGAGGGGCCACCAAGGGGUGGAUGGUAUAUCCCUGGAGGAUCUCAAAUAGACAAGUUCCCUGUCCUGCCAGGAAUCCAGAUGUUGCCCAGAUGUCCACAGCAGCCCCUCCUAGAGGGUGGGACACCAGCUAUUCUGUGCAGCCCCUCCCAACCCAUCUCCCAGGGUCAAGGGAGGAAAGCUGGCGACCUCCACUGCCCCUUCCCCAUUCCGGCUGUUGGGAGGGGGCAGCUCCCUCAUCCUGGGUUCACUUCUAAGGCAGUCACCUGAGUUCAGCCUGUGAUCUAACCUCUAGUCCUCUGCUGACAGGUUAAGUCUAGAGCCCCAGGAAGGAGGGCGUCCUGGGUCAGUUUCAUUUCACAUAAACGGACUGUCCCUGGAUCCAGGGAAGCGGAUUCUCCCGUUUCCUCCCCGGUGCCUCAGUCUUUUUGGAGGCGCCCUCUGCUGGCCACUGGGAAGUGCAGGAAAGAACAGAGUCCUGCAGACUCAAAGAGCGUCUACAGAAAGGGACAAGAGGUAGAGGCAACCGGGAGCCAACUGAGAGCGGUGGCUGGACUGCCACAAAUAAGAGAGGCAUGCUGAAGCCUUCUUGGAGGCCCCGUUCCAGACCCAGCCAGGGUGAAGAGGACUCCCAGGGGCGGAGAUCGAGGCCCAGGAGAGAACAGAGAGUAUCCUGCUUUAAUUGGAGGAAACCAUUCCAAUCACCGGGAAAGGGGCGUCGGAGGCUAGAGCCCCUGCCGGGCCCCCGGGGGCGUGUCGUCGGCCCGACGCGUCGCCGGCCAGCGGCGUGGCGAGGACUCUGGCCGGCAGCCUCCCGCGCCGUCAGGAGCAGCUGACUCGCUGGCGGCGGGCCAGGUCGUGGCGGGGCCGGGAGGCAGCAACGUGCGGCGCGGCAUGUCGCGGGCUCAGCGGCGGGGAAACGUGGGGGCGGGCCCGGCGCGCCGCCCCCCCCACCCCACGCAGGCCCAUUCAUAAAACCCGCGGGCGCUGCCGGGCCUGGCAGCCUGGACUCCUAAUUGCAAACUCAUUAAGGAGUUUGCAUCUCAUUUGCAUGGAAAUCAUUUCCUGGCCCUAAACAGACGAAUGCCCCCUUCCUUCAGCCCCCUUUGCCCCGCUCUACCCAUCCACAGUCUGGGAGGGGAGAGGGGCCUGUCUCUGCCCUGUGCCCCCUCCUUUGCCUCACCCCUCCCAUCCCCCUGGUGAGGAGUGGGGCAGGGGGGUUGGCAGAGCACCCACCUAGCUGGGAUUCCUACCUGGGCCGCAGGUGAGCCGGCUCUGCCCCAGUGGGUCCAAGCGAGGGGAGGUGCCCGCCAAGUCAUUUGCCCCCCGGCCUGGCCAUGCCCAGGGAAGGGAGGAGGCGGCUGGCGGCUGGCCGCAGCAGCUGGUUGUACCUGGCAGGACUAGGGCUGGUGGGUGAGGCUGUUCGUGCCCAGCCUCACGUACAUGCUUAGCCACAGGCUGUGCUCCCACCCCCACACCCCUCGCCCCACAGAACAAGCGCCCAGUGACUACAGAAACAGACACCCAGUCACGGCGCACAAAGGCACCCACACCGGGCCGGCCAUCAUGGCCGCCGCCCUGGCAGCUACCCUUGGGGGCAGGCAUAUGCCUUCACAAGCCAUUUGGUCCUUCUUCAGCGCCCUGCCAGGGUUGGGGGGAAGGGGCUUCUCUUGAGACUUUUCUGAGUAAGGGGAGCUAGUAGAGGAGCUCUCUUCUGUAUCCCAGACGCAGCUUCUUCCCCUCCUCUUCUGCAACCCAUAUUCAUGGAGGCCCCAGGUGCUGCACCCUGCGUGAGGACGUGCCCAGGCACAGGGUUGCAGGGCCCUCCAACCCAGAAGGGGCAGCGGAGGAGGAAGCCCCUGAGGAAGGAGCACCUAAGUGCCUCCCCAGUGGGGCCCUGUCCUUCCUGUCCCAAAUGUGUGUAUGCUCCCCAACUUCCAGGACGGGGGGAACCUUGUAAACUGUUGGAAAUGGACUAGAAUUACCUAAAGCACAUGAAAUCAGAUUCUACUGGGGACAUAAUGUCCUGGUUCUAUAUAUCCUGAGACAGUUUAAAAAGUAAUCACAAAACUUGUAGCAUUAGGGUCUAAAACAAAAACCUCCUUCUUGUCCAAAUCAUCUGGGUCCCUCCCCAGACAUAGCCCUGCUUAUGCUUCCUGUCUGCCCACACUCCCACCUGCUGCCCCUGAAGUUUCUCCCUUCCCUUGCUAG
rnacentral:lncRNA from 1 species